UCCCAGAUCAUUGCAGUGUUUCCCUGACGGUCAUAAACACCGUGCUGUGGUUUUCCGUGGCUAGAUUGUGAUGAAAAUGAAAUAAAAGGCGUUGACUAGUUUGUAAAAGACAAGACUUAUGCAAUGUAUUUGUAUGACAGGACGUUCGCACCGAAAUAUCCAUAGAAAGCAUGUGACAAAGUUCUGUCAGCAAAUGUUUUACCAUACUGUGGACAACGUAACUUACCACAACAUGUGUGAUAAUUUUGUAACUGGUAACUUUGCCUGGUGUGAAGGCAUGCCGAACUGUAUAGUUGAGCCUAUAUUAAUGAACUCGCAUGUUAUAACAAACUCUGUAUGUAAUCCUCGUCAAUAUAGCUGUUUAACAAGUAUAAGCUUAUAAUGAAUAUUGAAUGUCCUUGUUCUAACAAAGUUUGCCUGUGCUUUGAAUUGAACUUCACUGGUAACAGGCAACAUGUACAAAGUGAUGCAAGGAACUUACUUUUUAAUCUGUCAUGUUUUGAACUUAGUUCCUCAGUUAAACGCCAUGUAAUGCUUAUUGUUUUACAUUCGCUCAGGAGCAGUGACACAAACUUCCGAAAAAAAAAAAAGCCUUCCCAGAGCGCUCGUUGAAAACGAGAUAUUUAAAUGAAGUGUUACUUCUUUGCCAAUAUGUUGGUGAUGUUGAUAAAUAUUGGAAAUGUGCUAAUAAUCGAUGGUAUGCUGAUUGAUUGCAUUAUAUUUGCACUUUCACAUCACUGCAGUUAUGUGAAAACUUUCAAAUUAAAUAUGGCAAUUUUUCGAAGCAAGUCAAUAUGCUGGGAUUCUCACUAUUCACACUAGUUAUAUCUUGUGCCUGAAAUCACACAGCCGAAGCAAACUGUUCCAAGUCAAAAUAGUGACCUAGUAAUGUAAUCGUCACACAGGCAAGACAGUAAUCACUUCAUUAAUGUUUGUCUCAAUAUUUAAUAGGCUUUAAGCAGUAGCACUCGUUCUUAAGAUAUCUGUUCUUCAAACCUUCAGCGAAUGAUAUUGAUGUUCUGCGUAGAAAUUUGAAGUGGAACAGUGAUGUAAUCGCCACUCAAUUCCAGAACAGCAGUCCUGAUAACAGACUUGCUGUGCAUGGAAGAGACAUGAUUUAAGCAAUGUCCAUAUUCGGUUAUGCAGCUAAAAGACUUAAGUUUACGACUGAAAACAUUUUUGAAUAUCACAUAAUUGUGCUUUCAAUGAAUACCGGCAAAUUUCUUAUAGAUCUGAAUCUGAAGUCAGGUCAGAGCUUAUGGCAUAAAGUGCCGACAUUAACAGCAAUAGAAAAUUGUACUUGGUGCAUAUUUAGCGGUUUUCCAUUGGUAACAACAUGUGUCAUUUGCGUUCAUUUCUUGAUUGCAUGUUUAUACCUGGCUAUUUAUUGCAUCUGCAAAGGCGUAACAUAGAAGUACUUGUUGCUGUGCUAGUUGGUUCAUCAUAAUGAGGGAAAAAAAACUAGACACCUAGAACACCGAAAGAAUGGAAGAAGAAGCACAGGGAAAGAGCGCUUUCCCUGUGCUUUUUCGUCCUUCUUUCGGUGUUUUAGGCGUCUGGUUUUUUGUUUUUUUUCCCUCAUUAAGGCGUAACAUGCAGAUACCUGUAGUCACUAGUCAAACAUUGCCGGACACUUUUGUGGAAGGCGCACAUAUGUGGCGCCAUCUUGUGGUUCUGCACGGUGCAUUGUCCAACUCGACUGCAUUGCUGCAUUCUUUGGCAAAGAAUAGAAAUAUGACAAGACCAUGACUCCAAUGUUGAGUUUACAAGCACGUAUAUUUAUAUGCGUGACAAAGUUUUUGGCAUUUGCUUUUCAAGGAAAAGAAAGGGUUGUGUCAUUUCUGCCUUUUCGAUUUAACACACAGUUUGUUCUUGGAGGUGUCGACAAACAUCCUCAGAACCACCGAACACAGCAGACCUCAGCUAUAAUGCCAUUAUGUAGCCAGAGAUAUGUUGAUACUCAAACCUCAAUAUAACGAACACGGAUAUAACGAAUUGCCAGUUAUAACGAAGUAAAUGAAUAAUAGCCUUGGUAAUACAGUGGUUCGACUGUAUGCUUAUAACGAAUUUUCGGAUAUAGCAAAGUUAUUUUCUUGUCAAAUGUGACUUUGUUAUAAUGUAGUUUAAGUGUACAAGCACAGUGGUUGAUCUUAGUUGGGAAUGACCGAAAAGGUUCUCAGUAUAACAAAGCUCUAGUAGCACGGGCCCAAGCAAAUGCAGACACAUUUUUGGCAUUGUAGAUGCUCACCUGCAUGCUUUUUUACUUCUAAGGGCAUAACACUUGACAAAUUUGUAAACAUGUUUAGAGUGACUUCAGUCGGCCCGGAACACACAAGCUUGGCUUGUCAUUAUUACAACACAAAGCGAAAUUUGCUGACAUUUUGCAGUACCGAGACUACGUAUGGUGGCGUCGCAAAAAGAAAAAGUACUGAGUACUAGAUGCAUUUCGUGAAAUGCAACUGCAGAAAUAGCAGAAACAAGGCUGGCCAAUGCUUUGCAACCAUGUAACAUGUGCCCUUCCUAUAGUCGGGUACAACUUUAGAUGGCAGUGGCAUUUUCCCUUCAAAGGUGGAUGCACAUGAGCCUACACCAAUAGGUGCGCACUUCAGGUGACGUCAUGAGCCGGACGGCCGGUGACCCCGCCGACAGAGAACAUGCCUAACAUGGCCACUUGGGACUAUUUCUUUAGUCGCAGAGCCAAUUGGCUGCUGCGCUUCGGUCAUCUGGGCGGAGCCUCUCCUGUCUUCUAAAGUUGUACACGCCUAUAGGUAAUGCUUUGUGGAAACAACCACUUUAAGGCAAAGAAAGCGCAGGGUCUAUAAUUUGUAGCGAUUAUAAACUAUUAGUAGUUACCCUUACGCUUUUCUUAUCUUCAUAUGCUUGUACCUGACACCUGGCACCUCGGUCGUAGUAGAAACAAGUAUUGGGUGCUCGAAUGUUUCCCAGCUAUUUCAUCUAAGAGCAAUUCACCCUUUAACGCUAAGAAAUAUCGGCAUGUUGAAAAUGAUGUGUCUGUGCACCUUGCUGCGUAUCUACCACUGGCCAAAGAAUAUGCAGAAAAAAAUUUUUCACAGUACCUACCGCACGAGAAUUACGAAGAGGCAAUGGCUCUAGCAGUGCGCAGCAUUUUGCAUUCAGCACCGUUGAGGAGGCUAGUUUUAUGAAGAACUGUGGUGAGAAACUAGCGGUCUCAUUAACUUUGCGUGUGGAUAUGCAGAGCGCGCUUUUUCUGCGACACUGAUGCGUGGCUGGUGUGUGUGUGUGUGUUGCGAUGAUAUGCCUGCAAGUUUGACGUGGAAAACAUUGAGCGAGUGCUGCGAAGCGUGCAUGCGAUGGAAGCUCGUGUGCUGUUUAAAUUGCUUUUCGUAAAGACCAUGUAAAUGAGAUGUAAUAAAGUUAUAUAUACGCAAUGCAA